AAUUUGAACUCUCGGCUCUGUUAAACAAACUAUGCUUUAUUCAGCCGAGAUGAAUUGAGACUUUUGCCAUGGAGAAAUCAAGGGCUACCCAUUUAUCCCUUUUCUAAAUUUUGAUGAGGAUACAUGCCGUUUCUUCUUGGCAGCCACAAGCACAUGCUUUACAAGGAGUAACUUUCGAGUUAUAGAAAGAUGACAUGGAGACACAACAGGUUGGCGUUUGAGAAGCAAGAAACUGUGAGUAAGAGCAUGUCACAUUCCAAGUCACUGCAAAAAGAAGCAAGGGAGUUUGAUGUUGGCAGGCAGUUGAAAUGUUAAAAAUAAUGUGAAAAAUAGUCUAGUAGGCAUCUCAUCCCUUUCAAAGACCUCAUGAAUCCUCCCUAUCUUUGGAGUUAUGAACAGUAAGAUAUAUGAGUAGAAAGCUGAUGGUGGCACAAUCUUUGCCUGGCUACAUGUGUAACCCAGCCCUGGACCAUUCAAGGUGAAAUUCUUGGGAAGUCUCACUGUCUUAUUCGAACUACCGGAAUGACCAACCGUCAAUUGGAAGGCAGAGACAGCAGAUGAAGGAUCUUGUCCCCAAGAUGUCAAAACACCACCUUUGCAGCACAUAGCUACCUGUCUGU